rnacentral:rRNA from 1 species
AGCGCAACCCUUGUCCUUAGUUACCAGCCCCUUGGGGGGGCACUCUAAGGAGACUGCCGGCGACAAACCGGAGGAAGGUGGGGAAGACGUCAAGUCAUCAUGGCCCUUACGGCCAGGGCUACACACGUGCUACAAUGGUCGGUACAAAGGGUUGCCAAGCCGCGAGGGGGAGCUAAUCCCAUAAAACCGAUCGUAGUCCGGAUCGCAGUUUGCAACUCGACUGCGUGAAGUCGGAAUCGCUAGUAAUCGUGAAUCAGAAAGUCACGGUGAAUACGUUUCCGGGCCUUGUACACACCGCCCGUCACACCAUGGGAGUGGGUUGCUCCAGAAGUAGUUUAGUCUAACCUUCGGGGGGACGGUUACCCACGGAGUGAUUCAUGACUGGGGGGAAGUCGUAA